UACGUAGGGUCCGAGCGUUGUCCGGAAUUACUGGCGUAAAGAGCUCGUAGGUGGUUUGUCGCGUUGUUCGUGAAAUCUCACGGCUUAACUGUGAGCGUGCGGGGCGAUACGGGGCAGACUAGAGUACUGCAGGGGAGACUGGAAAUUCCUGGUGUAGCGGUGGAAUGCGCAGAUAUCAGGAGGAACACCGGUGGCGAAAGGCGGGUCUCUGGGGCAGUAACUGACGCUGAGGAGCGAAAGCGUGGGGAGCGAACAGG
rnacentral:rRNA from 1 species